GACGAACGCUGGCGGCGUGCUUAACACAUGCAAGUCGAACGGAAAGGCCCUGCUUUUGUGGGGUGCUCGAGUGGCGAACGGGUGAGUAACACGUGAGUAACCUGCCCUUGACUUUGGGAUAACUUCAGGAAACUGGGGCUAAUACCGGAUAGGAGCUCCUGCUGCAUGGUGGGGGUUGGAAAGUUUCGGCGGUUGGGGAUGGACUCGCGGCUUAUCAGCUUGUUGGUGGGGUAGUGGCUUACCAAGGCUUUGACGGGUAGCCGGCCUGAGAGGGUGACCGGCCACGUUGGGACUGGGAUACGGCCCAGACUCCUACGGGAGGCAACAGUGGGGAAUAUUGCACAAUGGGCGGAAGCCUGAUGCAGCAACGCCGCGUGCGGGAUGACGGCCUUCGGGUUGUAAACCGCUUUCGCCUGUGACGAAGCGUGAGUGACGGUAAUGGGUAAAGAAGCACCGGCUAACUACGUG
rnacentral:rRNA from 1 species